GAAGAGCGACGAGGUAGAGAAAAAGGUCUCGCCAAUUGUCGCCGGUCGAACGUGCCGCGUUGGGCGUGCACUUUGGACUAGCAUCAUAGCAGAAACAGGUCGCGUCGAAUGACUUCGGACAGCCGGUAAUAAUCUUUCGGGAGGUCCGAGAUCAUUCUCGACGAUCUUCAGUGUACGUGGGUGCUUAAGAAACUCGACUCGCGAACGACGACAGAGGUGGAUCUCUCUAGGAAAUGCCACAAACGAAUG